rnacentral:rRNA from 1 species
UCAGGCCUAACACAUGCAAGUCGAACGAGGGUAGCAAUACUCUAGUGGCGGACGGGUGAGGAAUACGUAGGAAUCUGCCCUUAAGUGGGGGAUAACCCGGGGAAACCCGGAUUAAUACCGCAUGAUCUCGAAAGAGCAAAGCAGGGGACCGCAAGGCCUUGCGCUUUUGGAGGAGCCUACGUCGGAUUAGCUAGUUGGUGAGGUAACGGCUCACCAAGGCGACGAUCCGUAACUGGUCUGAGAGGAUGAUCAGUCACACCGGAACUGAGACACGGUCCGGACUCCUACGGGAGGCAGCAGUGGGGAAUAUUGGACAAUGGGCGAAAGCCUGAUCCAGCAAGGCCGCGUGUGUGAAGAAGGCCUUCGGGUGUAAAUUAAUGGAAGUUGGGAAGAAAAAGCUUCACCUAAUACGGGAGCCUGAC